AUCCUGCCGGAGGCCAUUGCUAUCGGAGUCCGAUUUAGCCAUGCUAGUCGUGCGAGUUCAGACUCGCGGCACCGAGCUCAGUAACACGUGGCCAAACUACCCUACAGAGACGGAUACCCUCGGGAAACUGAGGUUAACCCGUCAUACCGAUCUCAGGCUUGAAUCGCAGAGAUCACAAAAUGCCCCGGCGCUGUAGGAUGUGGCUGCGGUUGAUUAGGUAGACGGUGGGGUAACGGCCCACCGUGCCCAUAAUCAGUACAGGUUGUGAGAGCAAGAACCUGGAGACGGAAUCUGAGACAAGAUUCCGGGCCCUACGGGGCGCAGCAGGCGCGAAACCUUUACACUGCACGCACGUGCGAUAAGGGGACUCCGAGUGCGAGGGCAUAUCGUCCUCGCUUUCGUGUACCGUAGGGUGGUACACCAACAAGGGCUGGGCAAGACCGGUGCCAGCCGCCGCGGUAAUACCGGCAGCCCGAGUGAUGGCCGAUCUUAUUGGGCCUAAAGCGUCCGUAGCUGGCCAACCAAGUCUAUCGGGAAAUCCACCUGCCCAACGGGUGGGCGUCCGGUAGAAACUGGCUGGCUUGGAACCGGAAGGCUCAGAGAGUACGUCCGGGGUAGGAGUGAAAUCCCGUAAUNCNGGACGGACCACCGGUGGCGAAAGCGCCUCGAGAGGACGGACCCGACGGUGAGGAACGAAAGCCAGGGUCUCGAACCGGAUUAGAUACCCGGGUAGUCCUGGCCGUAAACGAUGUCUGCUAGGUGUGGCACAGGCUACGAGCCUGUGCUGUGCCGCAGGGAAGCCGUGAAGCAGACCGCCUGGGAAGUACGUCUGCAAGGAUGAAACUUAAAGGAAUUGGCGGGGGAGCACUACAACCGGAGGAGCCUGCGGUUUAAUUGGACUCAACGCCGGACAUCUCACCGGCACCGACAACAGUGACGACGGUCAGGUUGAUGACCUUACCCGAGUUGUUGAGAGGAGGUGCAUGGCCGCCGUCAGCUCGUACCGUGAGGCGUCCUGUUAAGUCAGGCAACGAGCGAGACCCGCAUCCUUAGUUGCCAGCAACACCAUUGGUGGUUGGGUACACUAAGGAGACUGCCGCUGCUAAAGCGGAGGAAGGAACGGGCAACGGUAGGUCAGUAUGCCCCGAAUGGGCUGGGCAACACGCGGGCUACAAUGGGCAGGACAAUGGGUUCCAACACCGAGAGGUGGAGGUAAUCUCAGAAACCUGCUCGUAGUUCGGAUUGCGGACUGAAACUCGUCCGCAUGAAGCUGGAUUCGGUAGUAAUCGCGUGUCAGCAGCGCGCGGUGAAUACGUCCCUGCUCCUUGUACACACCGCCCGUCA
rnacentral:rRNA from 1 species